rnacentral:tRNA from 1 species
GGAGGUGACAGGGGCCUGGUGGCUCUCCUGGUCUUCAAAACCAGUGCGGUUCCUCACGGGGCCGGGUGGGUUCGAUUCCCAUUCGCCUCCGCCA